CCCUUAGAUGUUCUGGGCUGCACGCGCGCUACACUGAUGCGCUCAACGAGUUUACGAACUUGCCCGGAAGGGUUGGUUAAUCUUUUUAAAACGCAUCGUGAUGGGGAUAGAUUAUUGCAAUUAUUAAUCUUCAACGAGGAAUUCCUAGUAAGCGCGAGUCAUCAGCUCGCACUGAUUACGUCCCUGCCCUUUGUACACACCGCCCGUCGCUCCUACCGAUUGAAUGGUCCGGUGAAGCCUCCGGAUUGGCGCGCACCUCGGUGCCGCCGAGAAGUUGGCUAAACCUUACCAUUUAGAGGAAGGUGAAGUCGUAACA
rnacentral:rRNA from 1 species